UACGUAGGGUGCGAGCGUUAAUCGAAAUUACUGGGCGUAAAGCGCACGUAGGCGGCUUUGUAAGUAAGAGGUGAAAGCCUGGAGCUCAACUCCAGAAUAGCCUUUUAGACUGCAUCGCUUGAAUCAUGGAGAGGUGAGUGGAAUUCCGAGUGUAGAGGUGAAAUUCGUAGAUAUUCGGAAGAACACCAGUGGCGAAGGCGGCUCACUGGACAUGUAUUGACGCUGAGGUGCGAAAGCGUGGGGAGCAAACAGGG
rnacentral:rRNA from 1 species